AUUGAACGCUGGCGGCAGGCUUAACACAUGCAAGUCGAGCGGGGGAAGGUAGCUUGCUACUGGACCUAGCGGCGGACGGGUGAGUAAUGCUUAGGAAUCUGCCUAUUAGUGGGGGACAACAUCUCGAAAGGGAUGCUAAUACCGCAUACGUCCUACGGGAGAAAGCAGGGGAUCUUCGGACCUUGCGCUAAUAGAUGAGCCUAAGUCGGAUUAGCUAGUUGGUGGGGUAAAGGCCUACCAAGGCGACGAUCUGUAGCGGGUCUGAGAGGAUGAUCCGCCACACUGGGCCUGAGACACGGCCCAGACUUCUACGGGAGGCAGCAGUGGGGAAUAUUGGACAAUGGGGGGAACCCUGAUCCAGCCAUGCCGCGUGUGUGAAGAAGGCCUAUGGUUGUAAAGCACUUUAAGCGAGGAGGAGGCUACUUUAGUUAAUACCUAGAGAUAGUGGACGUUACUCGCAGAAUAAGCACCGGCUAACUCUGUGCCAGCAGCCGCCGUAA
rnacentral:rRNA from 1 species